rnacentral:rRNA from 1 species
AGGAUGAACGCUGGCGGCGUGCUUAACACAUGCAAGUCAAGGGGGCCCGAAGCGCAAGCUUAGGGCAACCGGCGAACGGGUGCGUAACACGUGAGCAACCUACCCAGGUGUGGGGGGAUAGCCGUCCCAACGGACGGGUAAUACCGCAUACGCUCAACACGAGGCAUUUCGAGUUGAGGAAACCUUCGGGGCACCAUGAGGGGCUCGCGGCCUAUCAGCUAGUUGGCGAGGUAACGGCUCACCAAGGCUACGACGGGUAGC